CUUUAACAAUCUGGAACAAGCUGAAAAUUGAAAACAACGCAUAUUGUUUAUCGCUUAAACAAUGUGAGAGUCUCUCAAAAAUCUCAACUUGAAUGUGCUUCUCUGAAGCAUCGA
rfam:Providencia rettgeri DSM 1131 genomic scaffold Scfld7, whole genome shotgun sequence.